rnacentral:rRNA from 1 species
UACGUAGGGACCGAGCGUUGUCCGGAAUCAUUGGGCGUAAAGAGCGUGUAGGCGGCCACUUAAGUCCUGCGUGAAAUCUUGCGGCUCAACCGCAAGCGGUCGUGGGAAACUGGGUGGCUAGAGUGCGGGAGAGGAGAGUGGAAUUCCUGGUGUAGCGGUGGAAUGCGCAGAUAUCAGGAGGAACACCAAUAGCGAAGGCAGCUCGCUGGGGCGUUACUGACACUGAGGCGCGAAAGCGUGGGGAGCGAACAGG